GGUUCCGGAGCUGGCCUGUCCUGGGAAGCAAUUCGUCGAACAGCUGCAGCGCGAGACGGUGGUAGGCCCUCAGCCUCGACCACGCGCACGCGAGCUGUUUGGCGAAUUGCUUUACCCAUGUCAGGCCCUGCCUCGGUUAUAUUAUACGGCCUUCAACC
rnacentral:pre_miRNA from 1 species